UUGAAAAUUCAAGUAAAAACUAUAUUUUAACGUAAAAAAUGUGUCACAUUUAGUUACAUUGAUACUCACAAACAGCAUUGAAAGCAUUUUAAACAGUCUGAUACAGUCUGUGUUCAGACAGUGAUAUCUAUAGCUGACCUGUGGCUGCCCCUUAUAUAAAUAAAUGGUCAUAUGGUGAAUACAAACAGUAUGAAUUUCUGUUACAUUAUCUUUAGGAGCCACAUAAUUAGAAAUGUAAAGUGUGUUAACAUUAUCCUUUCUCAGGGAGUACUUCAGGAUGAGGAGGACACGCCACAGCAUAACAGACUGGGUGGAUGUUAAGUGGAAGGGAGGCGUUAUGGGCCACCCACUUCAAAAGGAUGGAUGUAGCUGUGGUGUCGUUGUUGUGAAGAUGGCAAAGGCAGUCAUGGAGUCCUUCCCUCUGAUCCCGAAUGUGAAUUUCGAGUGUUCGAAGAAAUACAUGAAACAGGAGAGGAGAGAACUGGCUCUCGAAAUCCUUGAGGCAUCAGUCUUUGAUGAGCACACUUAU